ACAUGGUUGAGGAAGGUGUCCAGUGAUCCACAUGGUUGAGGAAGGUGUCUAGUGAUCCACAUGGUUGAGGAAGGUGUCCAGUGAUCCACAUGGUUGAGGAAGGUGUCUAGUGAUCCACAUGGUUUACCUUGAGGAAGGUGUCCAGUGAUCCACAUGGUUGAGGAAGGUGUCUAGUGAUCCACAUGGUUGAGGAAGGUGUCCAGUGAUCCACAUGGUUGAGGAAGGUGUCUAGUGAUCCACAUGGUUUACCUUGAGGAAGGUGUCUAGUGAUCCACAUGGUUUACCUUGAGGAAGGUGUCUAGUGAUCCACAUGGUUUACCUUGAGGAAGGUGUCUAGUGAUCCACAUGGUUUACCUUGAGGAAGGUGUCUAGUGAUCCACAUGGUUUACCUUGAUGAAGGUGUCUAGUGAUCCACAUGGUUUACCUUGA